rnacentral:tRNA from 1 species
GCCCAGGUGGCGGAAUUGGUAUACGCGUGCGACUCAAAAUCGCAUGGCUUCACGGCCGUAAGAGUUCAAGUCUCUUCCUGGGCACCA